UACAGAGGUCUCAAGCGUUGUUCGGAUUCAUUGGGCGUAAAGGGUGUGUAGGUGGCGCGCUAAGUCGGGUGUGAAAUUUCGGAGCUCAACCCCGAAACUGCACUUGAUACUGCCUUGCUCGAGUACUGGAGAGGAGACUGGAAUUUACGGUGUAGCAGUGAAAUGCGUAGAUAUCGUAAGGAAGACCAGUGGCGAAGGCGGGUCUCUGGACAGUUCCUGACGCUGAGGCACGAAGGCCAGGGGAGCAAACGGG
rnacentral:rRNA from 1 species